UACGUAGGUGGCAAGCGUUGUCCGGAUUUACUGGGCGUAAAGGGAGCGUAGGCGGAUACUUAAGUGGGAUGUGAAAUACCUGGGCUUAACUUGGGUGCUGCAUUCCAAACUGGGUGUCUAGAGUGUUGGAGAGGAAAGUGGAAUUCCUAGUGUAGCGGUGAAAUGCGUAGAGAUUAGGAAGAACACCAGUGGCGAAGGCGACUUUCUGGACAAUAACUGACGCUGAGGCUCGAAAGCGUGGGGAGCAAACAGGAUUAGAUACCCUGGUAGUCCACGCCGUAAACGAUGGGUACUAGGUGUAGGGGGGAUCGACUCCCUCUGGGCCGCCGUUAACACAAUAAGUACCCCGCCUGGGGAGUACGGUCGCAAGAUUAAA
rnacentral:rRNA from 1 species